rnacentral:rRNA from 1 species
GACGAACGCUGGCGGCGUGCCUAAUACAUGCAAGUUGAGCGCUGAAGGUUGGUACUUGUACCGACUGGAUGAGCAGCGAACGGGUGAGUAACGCGUGGGGAAUCUGCCUUUGAGCGGGGGACAACAUUUGGAAACGAAUGCUAAUACCGCAUAAAAACUUUAAACACAAGAUUUAAGUUUGAAAGAUGCAAUUGCAUCACUCAAAGAUGAUCCCGCGUUGUAUUAGCUAGUUGGUGAGGUAAAGGCUCACCAAGGCGAAGAUACAUAGCCGACCUGGGAGGGUUAUCGGCCCCAUUGGGACUGAGACACGGCCCAAACUCCUACGGGAGGCAGCAGUAGGGAAUCUUCGGCAAUGGACGAAAGUCUGACCGAGCAACGCCGCGUGAGUGAAGGAGGUUUUCGGAUCGUAAAACUCUGUUGGUAGAGAAGAACGUUGGUGAGAGUGGAAAGCUCAUCAAGUGACGGUAACUACCCAGAAAGGGACGGCUAACUACGUG